rnacentral:rRNA from 1 species
UACGGAGGGUGCAAGCGUUGUUCGGAAUUAUUGGGCGUAAAGGGCAGGUAGGUGGUCUUGAAAGUCUGCUGUGAAAUCCCCGAGCUUAACUUGGGAAGUGCGGCAGAUACUCCAAGACUAGAGUACUGUAGGGGCAGGCGGAAUUCCGGGUGUAGCGGUGGAAUGCGUAGAGAUCCGGAGGAAGACCGGUGGCGAAGGCGGCCUGCUGGGCAGUUACUGACACUGAGGCGCGACAGCGUGGGGAGCAAACAGGG